GUGCUCACUUCAGCAGCACAUAUACUAAAAUUGGAAUGAUAAAAAGAUUAGCAUUACCCCUGUGCAUGUGAAAAAUUCCAUAUUUUU
ensembl:snRNA U6 U6 spliceosomal RNA